GACGAACGCUGGCGGCGUGCCUAAUACAUGCAAGUAGAACGCUGAAGAGAGGAGCUUGCUCUUCUUGGAUGAGUUGCGAACGGGUGAGUAACGCGUAGGUAACCUGCCUUGUAGCGGGGGAUAACUAUUGGAAACGAUAGCUAAUACCGCAUAACAAUAGGUGACACAUGUCAUUUAUUUGAAAGGGGCAAUUGCUCCACUACAAGAUGGACCUGCGUUGUAUUAGCUAGUAGGUGAGGUAACGGCUCACCUAGGCGACGAUACAUAGCCGACCUGAGAGGGUGAUCGGCCACACUGGGACUGAGACACGGCCCAGACUCCUACGGGAGGCAGCAGUAGGGAUUCUUCGGCAAUGGGGGCAACCCUGACCGAGCAACGCCGCGUGAGUGAAGAAGGUUUUCGGAUCGUAAAGCUCUGUUGUAAGUCAAGAACGAGUGUGAGAGUGGAAAGUUCACACUGUGACGGUAGCUGACCAGAAAGGGACGGCUAACUACGUG
rnacentral:rRNA from 1 species